CCUACGGGAGGCAGCAGUGGGGAAUAUUGGACAAUGGGCGAAAGCCUGAUCCAGCCAUGCCGCGUGUGUGAAGAAGGCCUUCGGGUUGUAAAGCACUUUCAGUGGGGAAGAAAGCCUUGGGGCUAAUACCCUCGAGGAAGGACAUCACCCACAGAAGAAGCACCGGCUAACUCCGUGCCAGCAGCCGCGGUAAUACGGAGGGUGCGAGCGUUAAUCGGAAUUACUGGGCGUAAAGCGCGCGUAGGCGGUCUGAUAAGCCGGUUGUGAAAGCCCCGGGCUCAACCUGGGAACGGCAUCCGGAACUGUCAGGCUAGAGUGCAGGAGAGGAAGGUAGAAUUCCCGGUGUAGCGGUGAAAUGCGUAGAGAUCGGGAGGAAUACCAGUGGCGAAGGCGGCCUUCUGGACUGACACUGACGCUGAGGUGCGAAAGCGUGGGUAGCAAACAGGAUUAGCUACCCCUGUAGUC
rnacentral:rRNA from 1 species